rnacentral:rRNA from 1 species
AAUAGAUACCCUGGUAGUCCACGCCGUAAACGAUGGAUACUAGCUGUUCGUCCGCCUCGGCGGAUGAGUGGCUAGGCGAAAGUGAUAAGUAUCCCACCUGGGGAGUACGAACGCAAGUUUGAAACUCAAAGGAAUUGACGGGGGCCCGCACAAGCGGUGGAGCAUGUGGUUUAAUUCGAUGAUACGCGAGGAACCUUACCAAGGCUUAAAUGUAGAUUGACAGGACUGGAAACAGUUUUUUCUUCGGACAAUUUACAAGGUGCUGCAUGGUUGUCGUCAGCUCGUGCCGUGAGGUGUCAGGUUAAGUCCUAUAACGAGCGCAACCCCUGUUGUUAGUUGCCAGCGAGUCAAGUCGGGAACUCUAACAAGACUGCCAGUGUAAACUGUGAGGAAGGUGGGGAUGACGUCAAAUCAUCACGGCCCUUACGCCUUGGGCUACACACGUGCUACAAUGGCCGGUACAGAGAGCAGCCACUGCGCGAGCAGGAGCGAAUCUAUAAAAACCGGUCACAGUUCGGAUCGGAGUCUGCAACACG